GCAAAACCAUGAGCCUUCUCUAGUUCCUAAGGGUCACAUAAGACUAGUGAAAAUCACCAAGAGGGUCUAGAGCCUGUGGGGGUCACGACGACCGAUCUGGGGGUGAAAGAAGUCACCAGGGGUCAAAGGGGGCGGUGAGAGUUACAGGGUAUCACCCAGAGGUCUGUAGGGGAAUCACCAGAGGUCGAUUGGGGGAGGGCAGGGCGACUGAGAUCACCAGGGGUCAUUAGAGCCGUGGGGCGUCACCAGAAGUCACAGGGCAGGGCUUGUUCACACAUGUGCGAAAGCCGGGCUUUAGCCUGGCUCCAGGAAGUGCCUGCGGUUUCAAAGCGCGGUCGUUGUGGGCCAGAGGUGCUCAGGCUUCGGUGCGGGGGAAGGAAGACGCGCCCCCAGUCCUCCCGCUGCCGCAACUCCCGAGAGCGGUACUCUAGACGGAUGGUCCGGGCCUGGAGCUUCACCCCUACCCGACGUGGGGACGGACUCCUGUCUGUUUUCGUCGCCCUUCCCCCUUGAUGACGGGCCUGCUGCCUGGAGACGUGAGCGCUCUGGCGGAUGGGGGCUAGCGGCGAAUGUACACAUGUGCACGUGAGGACUGCAGAUCCUUCACUUCUUCUCCCUCCCAGAGCAGCAACCCAACUCGGACAGUCCCGCGUGGAAGGCUCUCAGCACCCUUCCGCCCCGUCGAGCUUGGUGAGGCUCCCUUACCGCGCAUUUCCAGGCCGUCCCGAACUUCCCCCAAUUCUCCCAUUUAUGUGACUGAGAAACUGAAGAAUCUGGCGGAAAGAAGUGAUUCCAGCCCAGCGGGAGCAGACAUGGGGUUGCCAAGCCUCAGCUGAAACUGAAGCGGGAGCCACACCUCGCGAUUUCGAAAAGCUGAGCUCUGCGUCCGGACCUUGGGACAAUGGAGAGAGCAAAAGAGAGCGGAGUGGAAGGGGCGCCUCCGAAGCCUCGCCCUCUGAACCCACACUGUAGCACGUUCCUACUUGACAAAGAGACCGAGGCGUCUGGGAAGGAAGUGACUCGCGCUAGGACACGGCGGUCAGGAAGGAGUGGGAGGUAGACUGGCCUUCCAGCAGCUGAGGCGACCAGUGCCUCCCCUUGGGGGCGUAGGCGGGUGUCAUUGCGCGGCAGCCCCUCUCGGGACUGUCCACCCGGGAUUCCGCCUGCUUGUCCGGACCCCCCGGAAGAGCUAAGCCAAUCAGGGUUCAGGAAUUAUGAAUGAAUGAAUUGGAGAUACGGUACACGAGAGAGCUGAGUGAGGCUCCAACGGCCCAGCCAGAUGCCUUUCCCAAACUCUACUCCAGGUUUUUGAGAGAAAGGAACUCGGUCUUGAGAGCCGGGCCGCAAGGCCCUGGAACCCCACCCUCACCUCGGCCCUUCGAGGCCUGCCACGAAGGCAGCU
rnacentral:lncRNA from 1 species